rnacentral:tRNA from 1 species
GCAGUAAUAUCCCAGUUGGUUAAGGAGUCUGUCUUCCAAACAGAAUAUCGUAAGUUCAAAUCUUACUUACUGCA